rnacentral:tRNA from 1 species
UGUAAUAAGGUGUUUUAAGUGCAUAUUGUAUUUUGGUUACAGGGGUGAUUAGAUUCUGUUACUU